rnacentral:rRNA from 1 species
GAUUAAGUUAUUAAGGGCGCACGGUGGAUGCCUUGGCACUAGAAGCCGAUGAAGGACGUUACUAACGACGAUAUGCUUUGGGUAGCUGUAAGUAAGCGUUGAUCCAGAGAUUUCCGAAUGGGGAAACCCAGCACAAGUUAUGUUGUGUUAUCGACAAGUGAAUUCAUAGCUUGUCAGAAGGCAGACCCGGAGAACUGAAACAUCUUAGUACCCGGAGGAAGAGAAAGAAAAUUCGAUUCCCUGAGUAGCGGCGAGCGAAACGGGAAGAGCCCAAACCAAUAAGCUUGCUUAUUGGGGUUGUAGGACACUCUAUACGGAGUUACAAAGGAAUAUAUUAAACGAAUCAUCUGGAAAGUUGAAUCAAAGAAGGUAAUAAUCCUGUAGUUGAAAAUAUAUUCUCUCUUGAGUGGAUCCUGAGUACGACGGAGCACGUGAAAUUCCGUCGGAAUCUGGGAGGACCAUCUCCUAAGGCUAAAUACUCUCUAGUGACCGAUAGUGAACCAGUACCGUGAGGGAAAGGUGAAAAGUACCCCGGAAGGGGAGUGAAAGAGAACUUGAAACCGUGUGCUUACAAGUAGUCAGAGCCCGUUAAUGGGUGAUGGCGUGCCUUUUGUAGAAUGAACCGGCGAGUUACGAUCUGAUGCAAGGUUAAGCAGAAAAUGUGGAGCCGUAGCGAAAGCGAGUCUGAAUAGGGCGUAUAGUAUUUGGUCGUAGACCCGAAACCAGGUGAUCUACCCAUGGUCAGGUUGAAGUUCAGGUAACACUGAAUGGAGGACCGAACCGACUUACGUUGAAAAGUGAGCGGAUGAACUGUGGGUAGCGGAGAAAUUCCAAUCGAACUUGGAGAUAGCUGGUUCUCUCCGAAAUAGCUUUAGGGCUAGCCUCAAGUGAUGAUUAUUGGAGGUAGAGCACUGUUUGGACGAGGGGCCCCUCUCGGGUUACCGAAUUCAGACAAACUCCGAAUGCCAAUUAAUUUAACUUGGGAGUCAGAACAUGGGUGAUAAGGUCCGUGUUCGAAAGGGAAACAGCCCAGACCACCAGCUAAGGUCCCAAAAUAUAUGUUAAGUGGAAAAGGAUGUGGCGUUGCCCAGACAACUAGGAUGUUGGCUUAGAAGCAGCCAUCAUUUAAAGAGUGCGUAAUAGCUCACUAGUCGAGUGACACUGCGCCGAAAAUGUACCGGGGCUAAACAUAUUACCGAAGCUGUGGAUUGUCCUUUGGACAAUGGUAGGAGAGCGUUCUAAGGGCGUUGAAGCAUGAUCGUAAGGACAUGUGGAGCGCUUAGAAGUGAGAAUGCCGGUGUGAGUAGCGAAAGACGGGUGAGAAUCCCGUCCACCGAUUGACUAAGGUUUCCAGAGGAAGGCUCGUCCGCUCUGGGUUAGUCGGGUCCUAAGCUGAGGCCGACAGGCGUAGGCGAUGGAUAACAGGUUGAUAUUCCUGUACCACCUAUAAUCGUUUUAAUCGAUGGGGGGACGCAGUAGGAUAGGCGAAGCGUACGAUUGGAUUGUACGUCUAAGCAGUGAGAUUGAGUGUUAGGCAAAUCCGGCACUCUUAAGAUUGAGCUGUGAUGGGGAGAGGAAAUUGUUUCCUCGAGUCGUUGAUUUCACACUGCCGAGAAAAGCCUCUAGAUAGAGAUUAGGUGCCCGUACCGCAAACCGACACAGGUAGUCAAGAUGAGAAUUCUAAGGUGAGCGAGCGAACUCUCGUUAAGGAACUCGGCAAAAUGACCCCGUAACUUCGGGAGAAGGGGUGCUCUUUAGGGUGCAAGCCCAGAA